rnacentral:rRNA from 1 species
UACGUAGGGUGCGAGCGUUGUCCGGAAUUAUUGGGCGUAAAGGGCUCGUAGGCGGUUUGUCGCGUCGGGAGUGAAAACCCAGGGCUUAACCCUGGGCUGGCUUCCGAUACGGGCAGACUAGAGGUAUGCAGGGGAGAACGGAAUUCCUGGUGUAGCGGUGAAAUGCGUAGAUAUCAGGAGGAACACCCGAGGCGAAGGCGGCUCUCUGGGUCGUACCUGACGCUGAGGCGCGAAAGCGUGGGGAGCGAACGGG